AGCAACAAAUGCCCUGCUUCCAGGAAAAGCCUCUAAGCAUCAGGUAACAUCAAAUCGUACCCCAAACCGACACAGGUGGUCAGGUAGAGAAUACCAAGGCGCUUGAGAGAACUCGGGUGAAGGAACUAGGCAAAAUGGUGCCGUAACUUCGGGAGAAGGCACGCUGACACGUAGGUGAAGUGAUUUACUCAUGGAGCUGAAGUCAGUCGAAGAUACCAGCUGGCUGCAACUGUUUAUUAAAAACACAGCACUGUGCAAACACGAAAGUGGACGUAUACGGUGUGACGCCUGCCCGGUGCCGGAAGGUUAAUUGAUGGGGUCAGCGCAAGCGAAGCUCCUGAUCGAAGCCCCGGUAAACGGCGGCCGUAACUAUAACGGUCCUAAGGUAGCGAAAUUCCUUGUCGGGUAAGUUCCGACCUGCACGAAUGGCGUAAUGAUGGCCAGGCUGUCUCCACCCGAGACUCAGUGAAAUUGAACUCGCUGUGAAGAUGCAGUGUACCCGCGGCAAGACGGAAAGACCCCGUGAACCUUUACUAUAGCUUGACACUGAACAUUGAGCCUUGAUGUGUAGGAUAGGUGGGAGGCUUUGAAGUGUGGACGCCAGUCUGCAUGGAGCCGACCUUGAAAUACCACCCUUUAAUGUUUGAUGUUCUAACGUGGACCCGUAAUCCGGGUUGCGGACAGUGUCUGGUGGGUAGUUUGACUGGGGCGGUCUCCUCCUAAAGAGUAACGGAGGAGCACGAAGGUUGGCUAAUCCUGGUCGGACAUCAGGAGGUUAGUGCAAUGGCAUAAGCCAGCUUGACUGCGAGCGUGACGGCGCGAGCAGGUGCGAAAGCAGGUCAUAGUGAUCCGGUGGUUCUGAAUGGAAGGGCCAUCGCUCAACGGAUAAAAGGUACUCCGGGGAUAACAGGCUGAUACCGCCCAAGAGUUCAUAUCGACGGCGGUGUUUGGCACCUCGAUGUCGGCUCAUCACAUCCUGGGGCUGAAGUAGGUCCCAAGGGUAUGGCUGUUCGCCAUUUAAAGUGGUACGCGAGCUGGGUUUAGAACGUCGUGAGACAGUUCGGUCCCUAUCUGCCGUGGGCGCUGGAGAACUGAGGGGGGCUGCUCCUAGUACGAGAGGACCGGAGUGGACGCAUCACUGGUGUUCGGGUUGUCAUGCCAAUGGCACUGCCCGGUAGCUAAAUGCGGAAGAGAUAAGUGCUGAAAGCAUCUAAGCACGAAACUUGCCCCGAGAUGAGUUCUCCCUGAGACUUAGAGUCUCCUGAAGGAACGUUGAAGACGACGACGUUGAUAGGCCGGGUGUGUAAGCGCAGCGAUGCGUUGAGCUAACCGGUACUAAUGAACCGUGAGGCUUAACCUUACAACGCCGAA
rnacentral:rRNA from 1 species